rnacentral:rRNA from 1 species
UACGAAGGGUGCAAGCGUUACUCGGAAUCACUGGGCGUAAAGCGUGCGUAGGCGGUUGGUUAAGUCUGCUGUGAAAGCCCUGGGCUCAACCUGGGAACUGCAGUGGAUACUGGCCAGCUAGAGUGUGAUAGAGGAUGGUGGAAUUCCCGGUGUAGCGGUGAAAUGCGUAGAGAUCGGGAGGAACACCAGUGGCGAAGGCGGCCAUCCGGAUCAACACUGACGCUGAGGCACGAAAGCGUGGGGAGCAAACAGG